UAACACAAAACUAGAGAUUAAUUUAUUCCUGGAUAGAAAAAAGUAGUGUUCAUAAUCAUUAAUUAGGUGGGUCACCUAGGACAUUUUACCAACACGACAAGUAACGAAAGAAGAGGGAAGGAAGUACAAAUGCAGACACUACCACGUACUUCAUGAAUAUCUAUAAUUGGCUUGUGGUUCUUAAGAAACAAUGCAAACACCAUAACACUAUAUAGGAUGCAUUAGUUGUAUCAUUCUCUCGUCAAUGGCAUGGCAUUUCCGGGGAGAACGUGACGUCAAACAAAUGGAUUGGGAAUAGUUUAGUUAUAUAUAUAACGGGCACAGUGAACUCAGUCUCCUGCAAAAGGAGAAGCACUCGCAUCUGAUGGCCGCUGCAUGAGUGGGACCGAUAGAAGCGGUCCACGCACACUCUGCAUCUGCUUCUGUUCCAGUUCCAGCAGUUGCGGGAGAGGUUGCAGCGUUGUGCAAUUGGUCGAAGCUUCAGUUGACUCUCAUGCAUGCGUCUCUUGGCGGCGUGGCGGACCUUGUCCAACUCCACAGAUGUCUGCAGUGGGGCUAAAAACCAGCCUAGCUAGCCACCAACUCAUUGCAAGAAGGAAUCACGGGUCUUUAAAGAACAAAGAACAAAACAUGAAAAAGCACCGUGCAAUGUCGUAAAACUAACCAUCUCAACAUUCUGUGCAAAAGUGCUGGGCUCACACUAGGAAAAACAAAUAAAAAAACAGAAAGAUGAUGAUCAAAGAUGUUUUGAAGGCUCCAGCUAUUACUCUAACACCCCAGGUAUCACGCAACCCUAGGAUGCUACACAACUACACUACAAAGUGCCAAAAUAGAAAAUUUCGACAGCAGAUACCUUGAAACGAGCAUAACACGGAAGCAACAAUAGAUAGACAAAAUAUGAAGCGUGAAUCUCCAACAUAACAACUGCAUAUCUUAGCAAACAUGAAUAAGGAUACCUUAAUAUCUCACAAACUUAGAAGAAUACAUCAUAGCAUUAUAUGAGAUCCCGUGGAAGUGUAUGAUGUGCAACUAAUCCAUUCCCUUUAUGGUAGCUUCAAAGGACAACCUGGGGAGGAAAAACAAGGAUGAGAUUGAAAAAUCUCAGCAAGCGAACUACUUUAACAAGCUAUUUAAACCAUAAUAGAUUAACCAAUCAUUUGAUAAAGUAAUAAGUAUUAGAAAUACAACUCCACCAAUCUACUUGAUAUACCAAGAAUUAGUCGAUUAAGGCAAGACAACAAAUAUUAGUUUGUACAAGCUACCAUAAGAAAUAAUAUAAGAUCCAUGUAGAAUUAUAGUUAGCAGCCCGCAAAAACUCAUAUCAUAUAGGUCUCCCUAACAACUAGAAAUAAAGGAAGCAUAAGUGCAGAACAUAUACCGUAACAAUAAUGGAAUAUCAUUGGCAAUGUAAUUGAAGUUCCUUGGAAUGCAAGACAACAACACACAUAAUAUCUCCAUAAUCACACAAGCUAUAUCACACACACAGGACCACCAAGAGGAACCCCUUAUCAUAUUUGCUUCAAUGUAACUAUGUCAAUUCAAUAUCCAAAUAUAGGUAAAACAAAGAAUGUGAAUGCAAAAGCACACAUAUCGUGUAUCUAAAAUCCCAUAUGACAUACCAUAGUGCAUGUCAACAUAAGGGCAUAAUUUAUCAUUGUAUAUCACAUUGUAACUUCAUCACAUCCAACAUUCAAACCAUCUAGAAAUGAAUAUCAAUGCACAUGAAACUCCUGCCUUCAUACGUAUGAAGCUGCAUCGUUAUACCAAUUAGACGAUGCUAUAUGCAUAUGCACAUGAACUGCUGCCUUCAUACGCAAUAAGGUAUGAAAGCUGCAUCGUUAUACCCAAUAAACGAUGUUGUACCAGUACGAUUGCAACCAUAGGUUUGCGACAUAACUCCAAAUACCAUGCAAUGCAAUGAAAUGCAAUGCAAUGUGAUGCAAUGCCACAAGAUAAAUGCCAUCUCCAAAAUCCAAAUACCACAUACUCCAUGUUGAACAGAGAACAAGCCAUGAUAACAAAUAUAAAGAGAUACAUAAAUUGGUUUCUUUGACAUAAGUAGUAUCAACCAUGAUUGAAUGACAGUUUCAUAUAUGCCAAGUAUUAACAAAAUAGUUAUUCAUACCAUGCUACCUAUAGGCUCCCCCUUAAUCUAAGCAUAUAUAUGAUAUCACUUAACCAUUAACGAUUUAAAUACGGAGCAAGGCACCCAUUUCAUAAUCUAAGUCGAAGGCAUAUAUGUCACAUUAAAAAGGAGCUUUUGAGAUAGAGCUACUCAACCCAAAAUUCCAUCCUUAUGUUUGAACACAUACGUCAAAACUGGUAGGAAACUACUUCUGACCUUACUCAUAACCUAAACAUGUUAGCACUAGGAGACAUGAAGUAGUGUAAAUGCCACACCAAGAUCAACAUACCCCUACAACAGGUCCAUCAACUAUCAAACCACUAAGAAUUCCAUAGACUUCAGUAUGGUAGGAAAAAAUAUAUCAGAAGAUAAAUCACCAAGUAUAUGCCAUAUAUAAAAUAUACUUUCAGCCUCAACCAUAUUUUUCAUAACCCCUCAUCCACUGAAUUAAUCCAUUCAUCCAUUCACCCAUGUUAAAGAAAAAAAAACUAUAUACCCACUAUAUAGCUAUAUUAGAAUAACAUAUUCAUACUCUUCGCAUACUUGUAAACAUCAUGUAUAAUAUUUCAGAUUACCACAUAUAAAUAUGUGCACUGCAUUUUAGAAGUGGAGGUAGUAAAAAUAACAUCUUAAAGUUGUAGCAAUGCAACAGCUACGUUCACUUGCCUUUACCAACCAUGUAGACUUACACGCCACGUAGCAACCCCACCUGCUAAACCACUUAUGUAUAUCAGUGCAACAACCUCAAAUGGCAUUCUCAUAUAGAAACAUAAAGUGUUCAUAUGUCCAAAACUUCAAUAUGAAUGAGAAUAGACAAGCUACAUUCCUUGUCACCGUCAUCAUGAAGAGCAAAAAUGCUUAUCUUUUAUGCAUCAAUUUUUAUACAGUAGAUUAGGUACCAAAUAAAUAUAUAUGGAAACUUAAGAGAAUAAGAUACAACUUUGGUAGCAAAACUAUAAUUUUAUCAGGCCUCUAAGGUCACCUUAAACACCACUCAAAAAGCACUUCUGAAUCUGCCUAACAGCCCCAACACCAACAUAUAAAAAAAUAAUAUCUCCUAAAAUAUGCAACCAAAAUUAUAAAAUUUUGGUGAUAGGAAGAAAUUUUAUCCCUCUACAAAAGUCUCCAUAGUUGGAAGAGCCAAUUAGACCAUUUACAAGGUGAAAAACACCAAUGAACAGACUUGACUCGAUCUGCCAGGCAAACACGAACAGUCCAAUUGAUUCAGCCAUAUCUCGAGUUCUACUCCACCAAAAAUUGCAAUUAUAUACAAUUUCAAAAACUUACUAAAUCCUCCACAACUUACUAAUAUAUCUCAAGAAUUAAUUCCGCACCUAACAUAUCCAAAACUCGUACCCUAGACAAACCGUUGAUUCUACUAGGAAAUCGCAACUAGAAAAUGAAGUUAAACUCCAAUCCAACCUCUAAUCCUUUAAUCCCUCACGGUCAAAAUCUCCAAAAACACUUAAUUAACAGGGGAUAAAGAUGGAUCCCACUUUUACCUAAGGCUUCCCUAUGAAAAUCCGCAAGGGGAGGUUGGGGAAAAAACCGAUCUAGCAUCUCCGCGAUCCUCUCUUCCUGUUCAAUCCAUCUUGCUCCUUCUCUUCUCGGUCCUUGCUGCAAUGGAGGAGGAGAUCUAAAGGGGAAAGGGAGCAGUGGUGAGAGGAGGAGGCGUGCUGGGGAAAGGGGUCGUGAGGAGGGGGAAUGGGCGGCACCGGAGUCAGCCAGAAGGAGGUGGAGGUAAGGGUUACGUGCCCUCCUCUAUUUUCCUUGAUU
rnacentral:lncRNA from 1 species